rnacentral:rRNA from 1 species
CAAGGAAUAUUGGUCAAUGGACGCAAGUCUGAACCAGCCAUGCCGCGUGAAGGAUGAAGGUCCUCUGGAUUGUAAACUUCUUUUAUCUGGGACGAAAACGGGAUUUUUAUCUCAAUUGACGGUACCAGAGGAAUAAGCACCGGCUAACUCCGUGCCAGCAGCCGCGGUAAUACGGAGGGUGCGAGCGUUAUCCGGAUUUACUGGGUUUAAAGGGUGCGUAGGUGGGCUUAUAAGUCAGUGGUGAAAUCUCCGAGCUUAACUUGGAAACUGCCGUCGAUACUAUAGGUCUUGAAUUAUCUGGAGGUAAGCGGAAUAUGUCAUGUAGCGGUGAAAUGCUUAGAUAUGACAUAGAACACCAAUUGCGAAGGCAGCUUACUACAUAUAAAUUGACGCUGAGGCACGAAAGCGUGGGGAUCAAACA